GGAGGCGUGGCAGAGCGGCCGAAUGCACUCGCCUUGAAAGCGAGCGACCCGUGAAACGGUCCGGGGGUUCAAAUCCCUCCGCCUCCG
rnacentral:tRNA from 2 species